rnacentral:rRNA from 1 species
UGGGGAAUUUUGGACAAUGGGGGCAACCCUGAUCCAGCAAUGCCGCGUGUGUGAAGAAGGCCUUCGGGUUGUAAAGCACUUUUGUCCGGAAAGAAAACGCCGUGGUUAAUACCCCGUGGCGGAUGACGGUACCGGAAGAAUAAGCACCGGCUAACUACGUGCCAGCAGCCGCGGUAAUACGUAGGGUGCAAGCGGUUAAUCGGAAUUACUGGGCGUAAAGCGUGCGCAGGCGGUCCGACUAAGACAGAUGUGAAAUCCCCGGGCUUAACCUGGGAACAUGCAUUUGUGACUGGCGGGCUAGAGUAUGGCAGAGGGGGGUAGAAUUCCACGUGUAGCAGGUGAAAUGCGUAGAGAUGUGGAGGAAUACCGAUGGCGAAGGCAG